UACGUAGGGUGCAAGCGUUGUCCGGAAUUAUUGGGCGUAAAGAGCUCGUAGGCGGUCUGUCACGUCGGCUGUGAAAUCCCGAGGCUCAACCUCGGGUCUGCAGUCGAUACGGGCAAACUAGAGUAUUGCAGGGGAGACUGGAAUUCCUGGUGUAGCGGUGAAAUGCGCAGAUAUCGGGAGGAACACCGGUGGCGAAGGCGGUUCUCUGGGCCUGUACUGACGCUGAGGAGCGAAAGCGUGGGGAGCAAACAGG
rnacentral:rRNA from 1 species